GCAUAUCAAUAAGCGGAGGAAAAGAAACUAACUAGGAUUCCCUUAGUAACGGCGAGUGAACCGGGAUGAGCUCAAAUUUGAAAUCUGGCGUCUUUCAGGCGUCCGAGUUGUAAUCUAUAGAGGCGUUUUCCGCGCCGGACCGCGUCCAAGUCUCUUGGAAUAGAGUAUCAAAGAGGGUGACAAUCCCGUACUUGACGCGACAACCGGUGCUCUGUGAUACGUUCUCAACGAGUCGAGUUGUUUGGGAAUGCAGCUCUAAAUGGGUGGUAAAUUCCAUCUAAGGCUAAAUAUUGGCGAGAGACCGAUAGCGAACAAGUACCGUGAGGGAAAGAUGAAAAGCACUUUGGAAAGAGAGUUAAACAGCACGUGAAAUUGUUAAAAGGGAAACGAUUGAAGUCAGUCGUGUGAAAGGUAUUCAGCCGUCUCUGGCGGUGUAUUUGCCUUACACGGGUCAACAUCAGUUUAGUCCGGUAGAAAAAGGCUGGAGGAAGGUGGCACCCUCGGGUGUGUUAUAGCCUCCUGUCAUAUGUGCCGGAUUAGACUGAGGAACGCAGCUUGCAGCAAUGCCGGGGUUCGCCCACGUACAAGCUUAGGAUGUUGACAUAAUGGCUUUAAACGACCCGUCUUGAAACACGGACC
rnacentral:rRNA from 1 species